UGAAUUCACCUGCCCUCUCUCAUUUCCCUUAGGUCUCUCUCACACCCCCAGCUUCCUUCAUUGUCCUUUCUCAUUUCAUCUUAGCUGUCUCUCUCUCCCGCCACUCCCUUCAACUUCCUCGCUCCCUUUAGCUCCGCUCUCCCCUCAGUUACCUCAAUCCCGUUACCAGCUGUCUUCUCUCAUGUGCCCACAGCUCGCCUUACUGUCAAUAUCUCACAAUUCGUCGCUCCGGUAGCUCACCGUGCCCGUAGCUCUCGCUUCCUUGAACUUGCCGCCCCCAGUUCAUUUGCCGCUGGCCCACCUCCUGCACCGCUCGCCUCAAUUGGAUGUUAUACUAAGAGGAAAAAAGGCAAAUGGUUCCAAUACCUAAUAGUGGAAUUUGCUUUUGCUUUCCAUUGUUCACCUUAAGUGGGAAUUUGAAGUUUGUGGUGGAAAUCAGACCUACUCCCACUAUUGAGAGAUAGAGCCACACAAUGGAGUCUGGAGGUAGAAGGGAAGAGCAACACUACACAAGCCUAGCAAGGUAGAGCCAAUGGAAAGAAGAUUGAAGGAGUAGGUCGUUCAACCGGGAAGAAGAUUGAAGGAGGAGGUGAGGUGAGGGACAAGGAGCGCACACUUAUGAAAAAAAGAAUGAAAAGCGUGCCAUCAUGAAUUCUUUAAUUUAGGUAGAGCCGGUAAUUCGGGCAGGCCGGGCUUAUUCGGGCCGGGUUUAAAAAGCUCAUAUAGCCAAGCCCGGCCCUAACACCUUCGGGCUUCGGGCUUAUUCGGGCUGGCCCGAAUACCCGAAACUUUUUAAAAAUAUUUUUUCUGUAUUUUUUGAACCAAUUUUAAUUUUUAAAUAAUUCUAUUAAUUGUAAAAUAUUAUCUUAAUUUUAAAAGAAUAAAAUAAAAAAUAAUUUAUCAACUUUGUAUUUAAGUAGCUCUGUUAUUAUU